UGUAUUACUAUCUAUAAAACAAUUGCAUGACAUACAUGUACAGCAAUAUAUGUAUAAUCGUCCAACUUUGCUGUUUGCAGAUUGAUAAUUGCUAAACAUAGUCAAUACACAAAAAUAUCUGCAUUCUAAAUGCAAUCCAGUUCCGGUUAGGCGGAAUCCUAUAUCCAGUCCAGGUUUUCUAUAGUUUCCUUAAGGUCAGUCAAUGUGGUCGUCAACAGUGUGUCUGUUUUGCAAUGUCGGGAAACAUUCUUCAAUUUGUAGAGUAAUUCCCAGCAACAGAACGAUAGGUCCAGAAUGAAUAAGCUCGUCAGUAAUUCCCGGACCCGAGUCCUAUUGACCUGCAGGACUUGGUUCGCCCAUCCACAAAGAGGUGUCCUGACAGCGGCCCCAAACACCCCGAAAAGCCGCCUGGCAUCCCUCAACCCUCCGCCUCCACAGCGGACAGAGUCCCGCAGGCACAGGUCCGGAGGGGCAGGUAUGAAUGUGUUUGACAGAGAGAUGAAGAGACGACAGAGGAAGUGGGCAGCGUCGCUACAGGGGAGCCAGCAAUUUGACUACCUUAGAGACGAGGUGGGGAGUCGCGUGGCGGAUCGGGUCUAUGACAUCGCUCGAACCUUCCCGCUGGCUCUGGACUUGGGCUGUGGGAAGAGCCACAUCGCCCAACACCUGAGCAAGGAUGUGGUGGAGCGUUUGGUCCUGGCAGACACCUCAGAAGACCGCCUGAACCAGAGGUCCGCCUGUGAGAUCCCGACCCAGUGCGUCCUGGCCGACGAGGAGUACCUGCCCUUCCCAGAAAACACCUUUGACCUGGUGCUCAGCAGCAUGAGUAUGCACUGGAUCAACGACCUGCCGGGAGCCUUCAAACAGAUUCAGUCGGUGCUGAAGCCCGACGGGGUGUUCAUCGGCGCGGUGGUGGGCGGGGAGACGCUGUUCGAGCUGCGCUGCUCGCUGCAGCUGGCCGAGACGGAGCGCGAGGGGGGCUUCUCCCCCCACAUCUCCCCCUACACCGCCGUCAGCGACCUGGGGAACCUGAUGGGCCAGGCCGGCUUCAACAUGCUCACCGUGGAUCUGGAUGAGAUCCAGGUGGACUACCCCAGUAUCUUCGAGGUCAUGACAGAUCUGCAAGGGAUGGGUGAGAGUAACUGUGCGUGGAACAGGAAGUCCGUCCUCCACAGAGACUCCAUGCUGGCGGCGGCGGCCAUUUACCAAGAGAUGUACGGCCACCCAGACGGCGGCGUCCCCGCCACCUUCCACGUCCUCUACAUGAUUGGCUGGAAGCCUCACGAGUCCCAGGCCCGGCCGGCCAAGCGGGGGUCCGCUACGGUGUCGUUCAGCGACCUGACCCAGGUGGGCCGCACCGUCACCAAGGAGACGCCGUAGAGACGCCGGACCCCGGCCACAACAUUCUAUUCAUGUUAUAAUAAUGUACAUAGUGUGGGAUUCAAAGUGUUGGCCUUUUUAAAGAUGAACCCCAAUAAACAAGCUUUGAGACAGAAAAAUUAGUGUUUUUUAGCAUAACAUUAACAUUACAGAAUGAUGUAUUUAUACUAUGAAUUAUGCUUAUAAUAAAUGCGUUUAUAUUGUGUUUAUGUAUAUUGUGGACAUGAUGUCGAUUACAUAAUUCUGCUGAAAGCAGAAGAAGCGUGAUGCUCAGGGUUAAGGCACGCCCUUGGAGGCUAAGUUCCUCAAACAUUGAGGUUGAUGUAAGAGAGUGCUGUGUUGCUCACGAUGAAGGUCUAUGGCUGGAUAGCAGUGGCUGGGUGGCUCGUUCAGGCUCAACAAGGGUCCCCUCUCGAGGUGCACGUGUCUGAAGGGCAGACGGUGGAGCUCAAGUGUCUUCACGUCUCUCCACUCCCGGGCCAGUGGCAAAGACUUAACAAGGGAGGGACCCUGUUCUCCCUGCUGGACCACAACGAGGACGGACACUUCAGCCUGGCCGCGGACAACCGCUCUCUGAGGGUGCAGCGGGCGCGAAAAGAGCACAGCGGCAUGUACUACUGCCAGAGUAGGAAAGCAGUGUACCUCACGGUGGAUCCGCCCCUUAAGGAGGACCAACCAGGAUCCUCUGAGGAAAAUGAGGCGGAGGAUACGACCACCCCCUUAUCGGGAUCUGCUGACCACUGGGGGAUCCCGGUGGGCGUGGCGGUGGGCCUGGCACUGGGAGUGGCCCUGGGCGCGGCCCUGGUCCUUCUGAUUCAUAGGAAGCAUAGUUUCAGGAAAACACUUCAGAACCACAGGAGCGACCCUACACCCGACCCCGUCGUGACCUCGGACCCGACCUCUGACGGGGUGUACGAAGAGAUCCCGGACCAAGGCGACGUCCUGCGACGGGAAUCAGGCGGUGGAAACUUUUAUCAGCUGGCCUAUGCCCCGCCCCACGGUAACCAGCUCUACGCCACUGUUGAUAAAACAAGGAGCGCUAGCCCGCAGCGCUAGGAAACUAUGCUACCCUCUGCUGCUCUCCUAUUGGAGAGAAUUCUGACCAAUCACAUCCCUCCUGUGGGGAAAAUUAUAAUGUUGUAAUGUUUCAGAUAUCUGGUAUUUCGUGUGGGUGAUUAUGAGUGACUUUCAUCAAUUAAUAUAAUGUUCUGAAUAAAUGUUCUGUAACCGAAAAAAAAAAUACACGACUUGUGGUGACCCGGGUUGCGGCGGUAACCAAUUUAUAUGUUGCUACGGUAACCGACUGAUAUGUUGCUACGGUAACCAAUUAAUAUGUUGCUACGGUACAAGACAAAUAUAUUUCUGCAGCAACAAACUAAUAUGUGGCCUGCCUUAACCUGCCAUUGGGCCCUGGGGCUGAGAGGUUUCGUAGGCCCCCAGAGAGGGGAUCUUACAAUAAGGAUGU